UACGUAGGGGGCAAGCGUUGUCCGGAAUCAUUGGGCGUAAAGCGCGUGUAGGCGGCUGGCUAAGUCCGCUCUGAAAGCCCGGGGCUCAACCCCGGGAGGCGGGUGGAUACUGGUCAGCUCGAGUCCGGAAGAGGAGUGUGGAAUUCCUGGUGUAGCGGUGAAAUGCGCAGAUAUCAGGAGGAACACCAAUGGCGAAGGCAGCACUCUGGGACGGUACUGACGCUGAGACGCGAAAAGCGUGGGGGAGCAAACAGG
rnacentral:rRNA from 1 species